CAGGACGAACGCUGGCGGCGUGCUUAACACAUGCAAGUCGAACGGAAAGGCCCUGCUUUUGUGGGGUGCUCGAGUGGCGAACGGGUGAGUAACACGUGAGUAACCUGCCCUUGACUUUGGGAUAACUUCAGGAAACUGGGGCUAAUACCGGAUAGGAGCUCCUGCUGCAUGGUGGGGGUUGGAAAGUUUCGGCGGUUGGGGAUGGACUCGCGGCUUAUCAGCUUGUUGGUGGGGUAGUGGCUUACCAAGGCUUUGACGGGUAGCCGGCCUGAGAGGGUGACCGGCCACAUUGGGACUGAGAUACGGCCCAGACUCCUACGGGAGGCAGCAGUGGGGAAUAUUGCACAAUGGGCGGAAGCCUGAUGCAGCAACGCCGCGUGCGGGAUGACGGCCUUCGGGUUGUAAACCGCUUUCGCCUGUGACGAAGCGUGAGUGACGGUAAUGGGUAAAGAAGCACCGGCUAACUACGUGCCAGCAGCCGCGGUGAUACGUAGGGUGCGAGCGUUGUCCGGAUUUAUUGGGCGUAAAGGGCUCGUAGGUGGUUGAUCGCGUCGGAAGUGUAAUCUUGGGGCUUAACCCUGAGCGUGCUUUCGAUACGGGUUGACUUGAGGAAGGUAGGGGAGAAUGGAAUUCCUGGUGGAGCGGUGGAAUGCGCAGAUAUCAGGAGGAACACCAGUAGCGAAGGCGGUUCUCUGGGCCUUUCCUGACGCUGAGGAGCGAAAGCGUGGGGAGCGAACAGGCUUAGAUACCCUGGUAGUCCACGCUGUAAACGGUGGGUACUAGGUGUGGGGUCCAUUCCACGGGUUCCGUGCCGUAGCUAACGCUUUAAGUACCCCGCCUGGGGAGUACGGCCGCAAGGCUAAAACUCAAAGGAAUUGACGGGGCCCCGCACAAGCGGCGGAGCAUGCGGAUUAAUUCGAUGCAACGCGUAGAACCUUACCUGGGUUUGACAUGGAUCGGGAGUGCUCAGAGAUGGGUGUGCCUCUUUUGGGGUCGGUUCACAGGUGGUGCAUGGCUGUCGUCAGCUCGUGUCGUGAGAUGUUGGGUUAAGUCCCGCAACGAGCGCAACCCUUGUUCACUGUUGCCAGCACGUUAUGGUGGGGACUCAGUGGAGACCGCCGGGGUCAACUCGGAGGAAGGUGGGGAUGACGUCAAGUCACCAUGCCCCUUAUGUCCAGGGCUUCACGCAUGCUACAAUGGCUGGUACAGAGAGUGGCGAGCCUGUGAGGGUGAGCGAAUCUCGGAAAGCCGGUCUCAGUUCGGAUUGGGGUCUGCAACUCGACCUCAUGAAGUCGGAGUCGCUAGUAAUCGCAGAUCAGCAGCGCUGCGGUGAAUACGUUCCCGGGGCUUGUACACACCGCCCGUCAAGUCAUGAAAGUUGGUAACACCCGAAGCCGGUGGCCUAACCGUUGUGGGGGAGCCGUCGAAGG
rnacentral:rRNA from 1 species